CUCCCAUGGGUGAGGUUCCUACCCCCGUUGCGAGAAGGACUUUGCACCCGACGGGGUUAUGGUUCGAUGAUAACACCGUGAGCACCUCCAUUACAAAUAUUUUUCAAGCACAUUGGCGCGAACCAUGGCUUAAUUAUGAAAUGGUUGACAAGGAUACUAAGACCCACUGGUGGAACUCGUUUACGAAACAAUACCUUUGGAAUG